rnacentral:rRNA from 1 species
CCCUUAGAUGUUCUGGGCCGCACGCGCGCUACACUGAUGCAUGCAACGAGUUCUAUCCUUGGCCGGAAGGCCUGGGUAAUCUGUGAACGUGCAUCGUGAUAGGGAUAGAUUAUUGCAAUUAUUAAUCUUGAACGAGGAAUUCCUAGUAAACGCAAGUCAUCAGCUUGCAUUGAUUACGUCCCUGCCCGUUGUACACACCGCCCGUCGCACCUACCGAUCGAAGGUAAUGAUGAGCCCUCAGGAUUGUGGCCUCGUCGCGUCAGCGUCUUGGCUGCGAGAAUCUGUGCAAAUCCCUACCUUUAGAGGAAGGUGAAGUCGUAACA